AUGAACAUGCAGCAAUGCUUAUGAGACGAUUUGAUUCGAUAAAAAUCAAAUUCGUCCCGAGAAGUGAAAAUAAGGAAGCUGAUGCCUUAGCUAAUUUAGCUACUUUUUAACUAGAUCAGAUGAAGAAUUUUCCCACUCCAUAUCAAUUGCUCAAAGAUGGGUGCUUCCGUCAUUGCUACCCAGUAAUUUAGAAGAAAACAAUAGUGUCGAAGUAGUCGAAGAUGAGGAAAGAGAAGAUUGGAGACAGCCAAUAAUUGAUUUCCUCCAACAUCAAAAGCUACCAGAUAAUCCAAGGCGAAAAACAGAAAUCAAGAGGCGUGCCUCUCGCUUUAUCUUUUAUAAGGGAACACUUUAUCGACGAUCAUUUGAUGGAGUUUUCCUUCGAUGCCUAAGUAAUGAUGAAGCAACGCAGGUCGUGGAAGAAGCCCACUUUGGAAUUUGUGGUGCCCACCAGUCUGGACCUAAACUCCAUUUUCGAAUAAAGAGGAUGGGAUAUUACUGGCCAACUAUGGUACAAGACUCCAUGGAUUAUGCAAGAAAAUGUGAAGCUUGCCAAAUCCAUGCAAAUUUCAUCCAUCAACCUCCGGAACUAUUACAUCCGACAAUAGCUUCAUGGCCGUUUGAUGCAUGAGGUCUUGAUGUCAUUGGGCCUAUAACUCGAAAGUCUUCAGCAGGGCAUGCAUACAUCCUCGCCGGGACAGACUACUUCUCUAAGUGGGCCGAAGCCAUACCAUUGAAGGAAGUAAAGAAAGAAAAUGUCGCAGAUUUCAUUCGUAUCCAAAUCAUUUAUCGAUAUGGUGUCCCGCGACAUAUCAUAACUGAUAAUGGCAAGCCAUUUUGCAAUAGCCAUAUAAACAAUUUAUGUACAAAGUUUGGAUUCAAACAGUACAACUCGUCUAUGUACAAUGCGGCAGCUAACGGAUUGACAGAGGCAUUCAACAAAACACUAUGCAGUCUGCUGAAAAAGGUUGUCUCCAAAUCAAAAAAAGAUUGGCAUGAGAGAAUUGGUGAAGUCUUAUGGGCUUAUCGAACUACUUAUCGGACUCCAACACAAGCCACUCCUUAUGCCUUAGUAUAUGGGGUAGAAGCUGUCCUUCCCCUGGAGUGUCAAAUUCCGUCACUUCGAAUUGCUAUUCAGGAAAGUUUGACAACUGAAGAAAAUGCCCGCCUUCGAUUGGAAGAGCUGGAAGCUUUGGAUGAAAAGAGGUUAGAAGCACAAAUGCAUCUAGAGUGCUAUCAAGCUCGAAUGGCCAAGUCUUUCAACAAAAAGGUGAGACCAAGAUCAUUUCAAGUUGGAUAUCUGGUACUUUCCGUGCGCAGGCCAAUCAUAAUCACAAGAAAAACAGGGGGCAAGUUCCAACCUAAAUGGGAUGGUCCAUUUCUUGUUACCCAUGCAUUCACUAACGGAGCGUAUAAGAUCGUCGACAAAGAUGGAUUGCAAAUCGGACCUAUCAAUGGAAAAUUUUUAAAGCAUUUUUACGCCUGAAGUUUUUUAUUUUUAAAUUUUUCAUUGUACAAAAAAA
rnacentral:lncRNA from 1 species